rnacentral:tRNA from 1 species
UUUAAAUAGCUUACAUUUA